rnacentral:lncRNA from 1 species
CUGGGAUUACAGGUGUGAGCCACCACACUGGCUUACCAAGGCAGACAAGUUCAUCUUCAAGAAAACUAAGAGAUCUCUUCCCCUGACAAAAAACAACUCCAUGUUUGAUGGGACUCAGACCUGGGCUCUUCUGUCACCUCUAGGUAGGGAGGUCUUGGAGAGCAAGUGAGACCAGAGUGUUCAUGGAAAGUCACCAUCCACAGACAUUGGAAAAAUAGUCAUUCCCAAUUUCUGCUAUGUGAUCCCGUUUAGGAGUCACCCUACCAAGUGGGUAUGAUGAUGAAGGUGAGCUGCUAAGAAAGAGGUUGAGAGACAGCUGAUGUUUGUUUCAAGCAAAUCUUCUUUAACCCGAGGCACCAGGAGCAGAGGGCCAGUGGGUAAAAAGGUUAAGUAGGAUGGAAUCUACAAUAAAGCCAAAUGUGUGGGU